rnacentral:ncRNA from 2 species
UGAUAUUUCCUGCGAGAGAAUCAUUUAUAAAGAUAUUUGAUAAAUGGUCGCCGAAGAUGCAAACCGUAGAGCAGUAAAGCUCGUUGAAUGGUGAAACUUUCAGGCAAAAGGAUCGGGAAAGGUAC